rnacentral:rRNA from 1 species
UAAUACGUAGGUGACCAGCGUUGUCCGGAUUUACUGGGCGUAAAGAGCGCGCAGGCGGUCGUUCAAGUCGAGUGUGAAAGCCCCCGGCUCAACUGGGGAGGGUCACUCGAUACUGAUCGACUCGAAGGCAGGAGAGGGUAGUGGAAUUCCCGGUGUAGUGGUGAAAUGCGUAGAUAUCGGGAGGAACACCAGUGGCGAAGGCGACUACCUGGCCUGUUCUUGACGCUGAGGCGCGAAAGCUAGGGGAGCAAACGGG